CCUGAUGGGGCGACCCGCGACCCAUCUGGGCGGCGUGAUCGCGGGGCCCCGGCAUGUAGAUAUGUACACAAAGGAACCUAGGGUUCCCCAUUCUCUGUAUAGAGAGACGCCGAGAGAGAGAGAGAGAGAGAGAUCUCCUCUCCUCUCCUCUCUGCGAUUCCGGCCAGCUUCCGGCAAGUCCCCGUCCAUGUCAUCAAGUUUUUCUCUUUUCUUUCUCACGCCCCACCGGCGAUAUGUCUGUCUCUGUCCUCCCUCAUUCCUAUCCCGUUUUCUGCAAUCUACUGAAGGGUCUCUGCGAUUCUGUCCUUUUCUCUGAUUUCCGGCGAGCCCGUGCAUCUUCUGCAUCGUGCCACAGCGAGCUCCUCCGACUGGAGAGGGUGCUCGGUGGCUUCGUCGCUGCCUGGAGGAACCGGCCGCGGUGGGUCGCUUCGCUUGGGGAGGACGGUCCGACGCUGUUGGUCAUGCGGAAGGAUGGAACGGAAUUUGAUGCCAAAAGACAAAAUGUUCGAAAUUGGUCAAAAUAUUACUGAGUUUGAACCUAGAAAUUUUCUUGUAUUAAUCAAAUGCCUUGCAUAUGAUGGUUCUACACCUGGGAAGCUUAAAAUUGCUUCUACGCAAAAUUGGUUGUCAUCCUUAUAUCGUUUCAUUGGGCACCGCCAAUUGCCAAUACAUCAAUUAGGGGGAACAAGUGAUCUUAAACAUAGUACUGAAAAUGGACUGAAACAGUCGGCCGGGGGUUACAGUGGGUACAGUAUCAAAAAAUAAGGUUGAAGAUUUAGCUGAGCUUUGUGAAGAAGGGAAGGAUAUCGUGCUUAAGAAAUGCAAGUGGGCUCUCCGAAGAAGGAAUAGCACUGAGCUCCCGGAACAAAGAGGAAAACGUGGACUCUGAAGCUAGAAAUGGAAAUGUUGAAGUUGCUGAUGAUGGAGGAAGUGGAGGAAAAUUCAAAAAAGGACAUGAAUCAAGGGAACGAAGAAGAAGCAAGUAUUUGUCACCUCCAUACGUAAAUACUAACUGGGCAUGCAAAAACUUGCCCGAUUCAGAAGAAAAUCAAACGGAAAACGGUAAGGGAGUUCCUCAAGGAGGGCAAGGCACUAACAGGAUCUCUGUCCAGCCGUAGGAUCCCUUCCAAUUGGAAAGCAUACUGGGAAGAAGUUAAAGAACAAGGUCCUCAAAAAAAGCAAUUCAAGGGCCUAAUGCUUCACUUCAGGAAUACUAGAAGCAACAAAGGCAUGCUCGCUGGAUAUGCUCUAUGAACUUCGUUUUGCUGCUCUAGAUUGUUAUUAUCCUACUGAAAGUAAAAAUUUUGAUUCAGUUGAUAGA